GAUCUUGACAUCCCCCUGACAGCUUCGUAAUGGGAGUUUUCCUUCGGGACAGGGGAGACAGGUGGUGCAUGGUUGUCGUCAGCUCGUGUCGUGAGAUGUUGGGUUAAGUCCCGCAACGAGCGCAACCCUUAUCUUCAGUAGCCAGCAUUAAGGAUGGGCACUCUGGAGAGACUGCCAGGGACAACCUGGAGGAAGGUGGGGAUGACGUCAAAUCAUCAUGCCCCUUAUGACCAGGGCUACACACGUGCUACAAUGGCGUAAACAAAGGGAAGCGAACACGUGAGUGCAAGCGAAUCCCAAAAAUAACGUCUCAGUUCGGAUUGUAGUCUGCAACUCGACUACAUGAAGCUGGAAUCGCUAGUAAUCGCGAAUCAGAAUGUCGCGGUGAAUACGUUCCCGGGUCUUGUACACACCGCCCGUCACACCAUGGGAGUCAGUAACGCCCGAAGCCGGUGACCCAACCGAAAGGAGGGAGCCGUCGAAGGUGGGACCGAUAACUGGGGUGAAGUCGUAACAAGGUAGCGU
rnacentral:rRNA from 1 species